GUAUUUUUUAUUUUGUGAGUCGAAAUUAAGUUGAACUAAACCAAAUGCCGAAAGGAAAGGUCCUUACCGAUAUUGAAAAAGGUCAAAUAUUGGCUUUUCAUCGAGAAAAAGUUCCAAAUCGAGAAAUUGCUAGAAGAUUGAAGAGAUCAGAUCACGUUAUCCGUAAUUUCUUGAAAAAUCCAGUAGAUUAUGCAACAAUCAAGAAGAAACCAAAGAAAUCUAAGGUUUCAAGUCGUGAAAAACGCAGAACUGUUCAACUCGCAUCAAAUUCAUCAAAAAGUUUGAAAACAAUUAAGUCAGAUAUGGGUUUAAAUGUUUGCAAGGAGACGAUUAGGAAAGUUCUUAAAGACAGCCCACACAUUGUACGAUCAAAAAUGAAUAAAGCACCAAGUUUGAAGCCCGUUCACUAACAGAAACGGAUGGAAUUCGCCCGCGAAAACAUGGCACGCGAUUGGGAACAAGUGAUUUUGUCAGACGAGAAAAUUUAAUCUUGAUGGGCCUGAUGGUUUUAAUGGCUAAUGGCGUGAUUUGAGGAGAGAACCCAAAUAUUUUUCAACAAGGAAUUUCGGUGGUGGAUCUUUGAUGGUUUGGCUUGGGUUUUGUGCAACAGAAAAGUUAAAUUUAGCAUUUACAUCUUGCAAAAUGGAAAGUUCUGAAUACAUUGAUGUGCUAAAAUCAUGUUUGAUUCCAUUUAAAAACAAACAUUGACGCAAAAAGUUUGUUUUCCAACAAGACAACGCCAGCAUUCACACUAGUAACGAGACUAAAGCUUGGUUUGAAGCUAAAAAAAUUGAGCAAAUGUGGUGGCCUGCUCGUAUUCCAGAUUUGAAUCCUGUUGAAAAUAUCUGGGGAAUCAUUGUAAGACGUAUAUAUGCUGACCAGAAGCAAUAUAACUCUGUGAGCUAAAAGUAGCGGUAUCAGAAUGCUGGGAGGAUAUGGAGCCAAAAGUGCUGAAAAACUUGGUGGGAAGUAUGCCAAAACAAAUUUAUCAAGUAAUUGAGGGCAAAGGAAGUCCAAUCGAGUACUAAAAAUGUGAUAAAAACAUUUUUUUUUUUGAUAGUUUAGUUAAAAAAUGUGAACUGCAUUUAUAGAAAAUAGUCAGCUAUCUUUUGAA